rnacentral:lncRNA from 1 species
CGUCACGCUACAGUAUUAACGCCGACCGUUUGCUGCCGCGAGCAUAGAAAAAAAAAAAGAAAGGAAUGUGAAAUGGGGUUAACAGAAAUUAUUUUAUUUUUUUAUUCUUUUCCGGAAAAAGUAAAAAUAUCUGCGUAUAAAUUAAAACUUUGCGGCUUACUUCCGCUGCCUAGCGACAGGCGAAUGACGAGCCAGCCAGGUGCAUGCGUCAUUCUUCAGACACACCGCCGAAGCGAGCGAGAUCGGCUGCGCAUCUGAGCGGCUUGUUCGGUCACCCGUCUGCCUGCUUUUCUCUGUUGGGAUUUAGCCUGGUUUGGUGGGCUCCCGCCGAAUUCGUGCGUUCCUUGUGAACUUCGACGUGGCACCACUGCACUAUUGGACUACGGCAAGCUGACGUCGUCUGGUGCACCUUUCUACGGGAACUACUGCUGCUUACCUGGUGUCACAACGUUGGACGAAUGCCUAAAGAACCCGCAACGAGCAUUUAUAUCGAAUAAACAUUUCCUCUUUUCACAA